GAUGAAGAACGUAGCGAAAUGCGAUAAGUAAUGUGAAUUGCAGAAUUCAGUGAAUCAUCGAAUCUUUGAACGCACAUUGCGCCCGCCAGUAUUCUGGCGGGCAUGCCUGUUCGAGCGUCAUUUCAACCCUCAAGACCCCUUCGGGGGACUUGGUGUUGGGGACCGGCACAGGGGCCUGCCUGCUUGUCUUGCAGCGCCCUCGCCGCCACCGAAAUGAAUUGGCGGCCUCGUCGCGGCCUCCCCUGCGUAGUAGCACAACCUCGCAACGGGAACGUGACGGCGGCCACUGCCGUAAAACAACCCCAAUUUUAUUAGAGUUGACCUCGAAUCAGGUAGGAAUACCCGCUGAACUUAAGCAUAUCAAUAAGCGGAGGA
rnacentral:misc_RNA from 1 species